rnacentral:rRNA from 1 species
UACGUAGGGGGCAAGCGUUAUCCGGAAUCAUUGGGCGUAAAGCGCGUGUAGGCGGUUCCGUAAGUCCGCUCUGAAAGCCCAGGGCUCAACCCUGGGAGGCGGGUGGAUACUACGGAACUGGAGUACGGAAGAGGAGAGUGGAAUUCCUGGUGUAGCGGUGAAAUGCGCAGAUAUCAGGAAGAACACCCGUGGCUAAGGCGGCUCUCUAGUACGGUACUGACGCUGAGACGCGAAAGCGUGGGGAGCGAACAGG